GGCGUGUGAGGAUCAAAUUUGGAGGUUAGACCUCGUGUUAGUAAAAAUGUGUGACUUUUGAAUUAUGGAUCACCAAACCUAUCUAGGAGUGUUUGAGAAUAAAGAAGGUAUUAAUCCAAUGGGGUUUACAGCAUAACAUCAUCGUAUCACACGGUAAAUAGCAAUAUCUGUUUUUUAUAAAUAGUUUUUACAACCAUUGUUGUCACUCUUGUUCAAGGUGACAUAAUAUAUAAUCUUUCUGAUGUGUGUAAUGUGUAAAUUUAUUCAGUGAAUUGUUCUUUGAAUUAUUCUACUAUCUAUGAGUAAUAUCUUUUAAUUAUUCCCAUAUCUAUAGAUAAUAUUCAUUCAGAGAAAAUUCUAAUAUUUUUAACUUUUUGGUUAUACUAAAGUCACUUUCAAUAUCACUUAUCAGUCCUAGAAUAAUUAUUUUAAAGAAAUCAUAUUUAUUCUGUAUUUAAAUCCUAAAUCCACAUGUCUGUAAUGAGAACUCACAUAAACUUGUCAAGGUCAAGUACUUCAGUAAUUAAGAGGUCUCUUUUUGUGUGUUUUUUCUUAGUACUAUCUAUCAAAAAAACACUUUCCUACUUUUCUUCUUUCUUUCUUUGAUUGGUCGUACACAUAAGAAAUUGAAGUAAACGGGAAUUUUGUGUUUUUAGCCAUCCAUGUGAAAUCUUAAAUAACACCUCGAAACACCAAGAGGCCAAUCUCCAACCAUAAGUCACUGGGAGUAGUUACUUGGGGAACAAGCCUUUUGGGGGCAUUCCAGCUCCUUUUCGUAUUAGCACUUGGACCUACAGGAGGCAUGAUUUUUGCACUAUCCUAGUGCUCAUUUCCAGGGAUGCGCCAGCAACCUAUUUAGGAGUCGUUCGGGUUUGUUUGGGAACUACCAGUGGGUGACAUCAGUAACUAUUGUGUGUUUAUCUCCUAUGUUUUAUUUUAAUGCACUGUUUAUUAAUUUUGUUUCAGAUUUAGUUUACCUAUUUAUAUAACAUAUUUGUAUAUUAUGGUAUUAAGUUCCCAAACUCAUGUAUCAUUUUGCGGUACUGUACGUUGAGCUCUGCGUAUUUGCCCAAAAGGUAUUACUUCGAAUAUUUUAUUGUUUAUUUAGGUCGAUUUCAUAUCAUUAUGUAAAUUUAGGUUGUAUUAUUUGCUUGUUUCCCAAAUAUGUUAUUUAUUCGCUUUAUUUCAUUUGUUCAGUUAAUUCGUCGCUACUUUAUUUUAUUACAUUUGCUCGGGUAAUUUAGGUCAUCGUUUCGGUAUUUAUCUUAGCUUCAUUUUUACCACUUUUAUUAAUGCAUUUGCUUAAUUCUUCAUGGUAUUUUCUCUUCGCCAGGCUUGUGCCUAUUUAUUUAUAUUACUUUUAAUAUUCAUCGGUUUUCAAUUCAGUUGUACGUAGCAAGCGUACUAUAA